ACAAUGUCGUCUUCGCUUCUGC
rnacentral:siRNA from 1 species